GCGCCCGUAGCUCAAUAGGAUAGAGCAACUGCCUUCUAAGCAGUAGGUUGCCUGUUCGAUCCAGGCCGGGCGCG
rnacentral:tRNA from 1 species